CCUACGGUGGACAGCAGUGGGGAAUAUUGCACAAUGGGGGAAACCCUGAUCCAGCAACGCCGCGUGAGUGAAGAAGUAUUUCGGUAUGUAAAGCUCUAUCAGCAGGGAAGAAGAUGACGGUACCUGAGUAAGAAGCCACGGCUAACUACGUGCCAGCAGCCGCGGUAAUACGUAGGGGGCAAGCGUUAUCCGGAUUUACUGGGUGUAAAGGGGGCGGAGACGGGGAGACAAGUCGGAAGUGAAAGCCCGGGGCUCAACCCCGGGACUGUUUUGGAAACUGCCUGACUGGAGUGCGGGAGAGGCAAGCGGAAUGCCUGGUGUAGCGGUGAAAUGCGUAGAUAUUAGGAAGAACACCAGUGGCGAAGGCAGCUUGCUGGACAGUAACUGACGUUGAGGCUCGAAAGCGUGGGGAGCAAACAGGAUUAGAUACCCCUGUAGUC
rnacentral:rRNA from 1 species